rnacentral:misc_RNA from 1 species
UAGCUGCGAUACGCAGUGUGACUUGCAAACUUCUGAGAAUCAUUAGAUUUUUGAACGCAAAAGGCACUCUUGAGCUUUGCUCAGGAGUAUGCUCACUUCAGUGCUUUAUAUUUUUGUUGUCUUAAUUGGUAGACAACGUGGAUAGACGCCGUUCUUACGGCCUCUGAAAUCGAAUGGUCUUACCUCUUUGGUGAUCCCUUAGAGAGCAUGACUAUGCUGUUAUUCAAACAAGCCUGAAUUUGAGCAAGGCUACCCGCUGAAUUUAA